AGCACCGUUGCCACAAAAUUUGUAUUAACUUUUCUGUUAAAUUAGAUUGUUUUAUUUUAUUCAAGUUUAAAUGUUUGUUCUUCACUUUCUGCUUAAUACAUGUACUUGAUUUGAAUGCUAAGACCCAAACCAAAUAAGUUGCUAUAUAACUUUCUAAGGUAUAGUAUAUGGAGAUCAGAUUGGUAUGUAGAAUGAUUAAGUUUUGGUUUUGGCUAGAAAGAGAUAGGGACAGGUUCUCUGUUUCUACUCAAUUGGUUUGUACGAGUCCCGAUAGUCUUGUCAAGUGAAUCUCUUUCAUGUUCUUCCCGUAAUCAUACUACAGUUGCUGCACUCCUUGUGGAGCAUAUUCGGUCCCGAUCACGAGUGUGACCCACAAAGCUGUUUGAGUCCGAGGCGGUGAUUUUAGGAAAUCGUGGUGAGCUGCUUGACUGAUUGGCAACACCCUUAUCCCUCCAUCCUUUCAUUAUUAAUGUCUUUCCAUUGCACUAAGAUAGUGUAUUAGUGAAUUUUAAACUUGUACUUUUAUUCGUAGUGGCUCUUGUACAUAUGACAACAAUCUUAGGUGGUAUAUUUUGAUUUCCUCACUUGUUUCUUUAUAAAAGUCUCAGUAUUUGGAUAUUA